AGCCGGUAUCAGGCACAGAAUUCUAGCCCACAACACCUAGCAACGCCACACCCCCAAGGGAACUCAGCAGUGAUAAACAUUGAUAGUAAGCGCAAGCUUGACUCAGUUAAAGUACAAAAGGCCGGCCAACCCAGUGCCAGCCGCCGCGGCUACACCAUGGGCCUAAGUUGAUAACCCCCCGGCGUUAAGCGUGUUUAAAGAAGGUAAUAAUUUAGAGCUAAAUCCUGAGCCAAACUGUAAUAAUACGUGCCCUAUAGAAACCCGAAACGAAAGUUGCUCUAAUAACUUGAACCCACGACAAUUAAGAAACAAACUGGGAUUAGAUACCCCACUAUGCUUAAUCGUAAAAUAUACUACUCACACCCCACACCCUAAAUCGCCAGAGCACUACUAGUAACCAACCUAAAACUCAAAGGACUUGACGGUGUCUCAACUAACUAGAGGAGCCUGUUCUAUAAUCGAUAUUCCCCGAUACACCCUACCGCUUUUUGCUAAUCAGUCUGUAUACCUCCGUCGCAAGCUUACCGUAUGAAUGCCAAUUAGUGAGCAACAAAAGAUCAUUAUACACCCACACGUCAGGUCAAGGUGCAACCCACAAAGCGGAGAAAAAUGGGCUACAGUUUCUAACCUAGAACAUACGAAUAGCCGCAUGAAAUGGCGGCAUUGAAGGUGGAUUUAGAAGUAAGGAGAAAAUAAAGUGUUCCCCUUAACCCAGCAAUGAGACGCGUACACACCGCCCGUCACCCUCCUCGAUUGAAUACCUUAGCAUAUGUAACAAGCACUCUACCAAAGAGGAGGCAAGUCGUAACAUGGUAAGCAUACUGGAAAGUGCGCUUGGAAUAACAAAAUAUAGCUUAACCCUAAAGCACCUUCGCUUACACCGAAACCAUAUCUGUUAAAACCAGAUUAUUUUGAGCCACAAACUCCGCCCAUAAUCCACCCAACCCCCCCCCCGAUCAUAAAACAUUUUAACAACCUAGUAAGGGCGAUUGAAACAUUAAUAAGAGCUACAUAAAAAGUACCGUAAGGGAAAAGUGAAAUAGAAUUGAAAUAAACAUAAAGCAAAUAAAAGCAGAGAUUAACACUCGUACCUUUCGCAUCAUGGUCUAGCCAGUCUUAACAAGCAAACUAUAAUAUACAGCUUGCACCCCCGAAACCUAGGCGAGCUACUUUUAAACAGCCUCAAGGGCCAACCCGUCUCUGUUACAAAAGAGUGGGAAGAUUUUUAAGUAGAGGUGACAUGCCUACCGAGCCAGGAGAUAGCUGGUUGCUCAAAAAACGAACCUAAGUUCCACCCCAAAUAUAUAACCAUAACACAGAUCUUACCUGUUAAAUACAAAUUUGAGAGCUAUUCAAAUAUGGUACAGCCUAUUUGAUUCAGGGUACAACCAAAGCCUUAGGGUAAUGUCACCUCCCAAUUUAUUUAAGUGGGCCUAAAAGCAGCCACCUUCAACAAUAGCGUCAUAGCUUAACCAUAAUUAACCUUAAUUCCAACCCCUUAACAAAACCCCACCACAGUAUUGAGCACUCUUAUAACCUAUAAAUGAUAUUAUGCUAGAACUAGUAACAAGAAAAUUUUCUCCUAAAUGUAAGUAUACUUCAAAUAUGAAUAUUAUCACUUUAACGUAGUAAAUUCCCCAAGAAACCCCUACUAACCCCACCAUUGAACUUACACAAGAACACUCCAGGAAAGAUUAAAAUAAAAAGAAGGAACUCGGCAAACCUUAGUCUCGCCUGUUUACCAAAAACAUCGCCUCUUGACAAUUAUAAGAGGCCCAGCCUGCCCAGUGAAAUUAUUUUCAACGGCCGCGGUAUCCUAACCGUGCGAAGGUAGCACAACCACUUGUCCUUUAAAUAAGGACUAGAAUGAACGGCACCACGAAGACUAUACUGUCUCCUUUCUACAAUCAAUGAAACUGAUCUUCCCGUGAAGAAGCGGGAAUCAUUAUAUAAGACGAGAAGACCCCAUGAAGCUUUAAACUAAAUAUCACCCGCCACCCAAAUACCAAUUUAACCUAGCAAACCUGAUUAUUUAUUUUAGGUUGGGGUGACCACGGAGUAAAAUAAAACCUCCACAAUGAAAGGACCUACCCCCUAAUUCAAGAACAACACUUCUAAAAAUCAAAUUAUUGACAUUAAUUGACCCAAAUCUUUGAUCAAUGAAACAAGUUACUCUGGGGAUAACAGCGCAAUCUAUUUCAAGAGCUCCUAUCGACAAAUAGGUUUACGACCUCGAUGUUGGAUCAGGGUAUCCCAGUGGUGCAACCGCUACUAAAGGUUCGUUGUUCAACGAUCAAAAC
rnacentral:misc_RNA from 1 species